GGCCCGUUGGUCAAGUGGUUAAGACAGCGGCCUCUCACGCCGUUAACAUCGGUUCGAAUCCGGUACGGGUCACCA
rnacentral:tRNA from 32 species